rnacentral:rRNA from 1 species
AGCAGCCGCGGUAAUUCCAGCUCCAAUAGCGUAUAUUAAAGUUGCUGCAGUUAAAAAGCUCGUAGUUGAAUUUCGGGAUCAUCAUGUCGGUCGUGCCUCGGUACGUACUGGCAUUGUUGGUUUCUACCUUCUGACGAACCAUGAUGUCAUUAAUUUGGUGUUAUGGGGAGUUAGGACUGUUACUUUGAAAAAAUUAGAGUGUUUAAAGCAGGCUUUAGCUUGAAUACAUUAGCAUGGAAUAAUGAAAUAGGACGUUCGAACCUAUUUUGUUGGUUUCUAGGAUCAACGUAAUGAUUAAUAGGGAUAGUUGGGGGCAUUAGUAUUCAAUUGUCAGAGGUGAAAUUCUUGGAUUUAUUGAAGACUAACUACUGCGAAAGCAUUUGCCAAGGAUGUUUUCAUUAAUCAAGAACGAAAGUUAGGGGAUCGAAGACGAUCAGAUACCGUCGUAGUCUUAACCAUAAACUAUGCCGACUAGGGAUCGGAUGAUGUUAAUUUUUAAUGACUCAUUCGGCGCCUUAAC